AACGUAGGACACGAGCGUUAUCCGGAGUUACUGGGCGUAAAGGGCGUGCAGGCGGUGCAGUAAGUUUGGAGUGACAGUACCCGGCUCAACUGGGUAAGGCCUUCGAAAACUGCUGGACUUGAGGGCCAGAGAGGGACAUAGAAUUCCGGGUGGAGUGGUGAAAUGCGUAGAUAUCCGGAGGAAUACCAAAGGCGAAGGCAGUGUCCUGGCUGGCAUCUGACGCUGAGGCGCGAAAGCUAGGGGAGCGAACAGG
rnacentral:rRNA from 1 species